rnacentral:rRNA from 1 species
GACGGAGAAGGCUAUGUUGGCCGGGCGACGGUUGUCCCGGUUUAAGCGUGUAGGCUGGUUUUCCAGGCAAAUCCGGAAAAUCAAGGCUGAGGCGUGAUGACGAGGCACUACGGUGCUGAAGCAACAAAUGCCCUGCUUCCAGGAAAAGCCUCUAAGCAUCAGGUAACAUCAAAUCGUACCCCAAACCGACACAGGUGGUCAGGUAGAGAAUACCAAGGCGCUUGAGAGAACUCGGGUGAAGGAACUAGGCAAAAUGGUGCCGUAACUUCGGGAGAAGGCACGCUGAUAUGUAGGUGAAGCGACUUGCUCGUGGAGCUGAAAUCAGUCGAAGAUACCAGCUGGCUGCAACUGUUUAUUAAAAACACAGCACUGUGCAAACACGAAAGUGGACGUAUACGGUGUGACGCCUGCCCGGUGC